rnacentral:rRNA from 1 species
AUAACGUUCGGAAACGGACGCUAAUACCGCAUACGUCCUACGGGAGAAAGCAGGGGACCUUCGGGCCUUGCGCUAUCAGAUGAGCCUAGGUCGGAUUAGCUAGUUGGUGAGGUAAUGGCUCACCAAGGCGACGAUCCGUAACUGGUCUGAGAGGAUGAUCAGUCACACUGGAACUGAGACACGGUCCAGACUCCUACGGGAGGCAGCAGUGGGGAAUAUUGGACAAUGGGNNAAAGCCUGAUCCAGCCAUGCCGCGUGUGUGAAGAAGGUCUUCGGAUUGUAAAGCACUUUAAGUUGGGAGGAAGGGCAGUAAAUUAAUACUUUGCUGUUUUGACGUUACCGACAGAAUAAGCACCGGCUAACUCUGU